UGGGGAAUUUUGGACAAUGGGGGCAACCCUGAUCCAGCAAUGCCGCGUGCAGGACGAAGGCCUUCGGGUUGUAAACUGCUUUUGUACGGGACGAAAAGUUCUGGGUUAAUACCUCGGGAUGAUGACGGUACCGUAAGAAUAAGCACCGGCUAACUACGUGCCAGCAGCCGCGGUAAUACGUAGGGUGCGAGCGUUAAUCGGAAUUACUGGGCGUAAAGCGUGCGCAGGCGGUUUUGUAGGACAGAUGUGAAAUCCCCGGGCUUAACCUGGGAACUGCAUUUGUGACUGCAAGGCUAGAGUGCGGCAGAGGGAGAUGGAAUUCCGCGUGUAGCAGUGAAAUGCGUAGAUAUGCGGAGGAACACCAAUGGCGAAGGCAAUCUCCUGGGCCUGCACUGACGCUCAUGCACGAAAGCGUGGGGAGCAAACA
rnacentral:rRNA from 1 species